AGGUUCGGGUCGAACGCAGUGAGACAACGGAGCCGUUUACGGCGACGGCCCGUAGGGCGAGCGAAGCGAGUCAUCCUGCACGACCCACCA
rnacentral:sRNA from 2 species